rnacentral:lncRNA from 1 species
UUUGGCAUUGAUCCAAAGUUGAGCGAUGUGUGAGUAAGAUGAAAGAGCCUUGCCUAGGUAUUCAGAAGCAAGAGCAAUGCAAAAACGGUCAUGCGAUCAACAAAGCAGUACAGUUAUUAAAGCCCUCCCAGGGUGAAUAAACAAAAACUCACCAAUGACAGCUAGAAAAAAACCAAACAAAAAAAAACUUUCCCUGGAGUGACCACUUUGUACUGCUUCCUUUUUUUUUAACUUAAGAAGCAAAAUUUAGUUUAUAAAAAUUAAAGCAUAAAAUCAAAUCAUAUCCCAAACAUUAAACAAAACUAACUCAAGUAACACAUUGAAUCUCACUUUUGGCUUGUGUUUGACAAGAAAUGGCCAUGGCAGUUUUUUGGCAUCUUUCCAACUGGACUUCCUUACAGAGCUGCCAGGACACUGUUAAUUAGGAAAAUAGUUGCAAAAUAAAGAGGCUUUGGAGAGAACAAACUACAAAUGUGAUUCAAAUAUAUUGAAUCUUUCCAAGAUGUGCCUUGUGGCCUUUCUCAGCGUAUUACUUGUUCAGAACAUCACUCAUGAGCCAGGAACCAUGAACAUGCAGGAACUGUGUACACGAUGUGGCUGUCCCCAGCAAAAUCAAUUCCCACAUGGUGAUGCAGCUAAGAAUCAUCAGUAGCCAUUACUCCUAGAAGCUCAUGGAAUUUGAAAGGUGGGUAUGGGUGGCAUACUAUACCAUCCACUAUAGAGGAGUCACCUAAAGCAUUGAAUUCUGAUGGAAAACUUUACAAAUUGUAUAUGGUCAGGAGAUUGAUGAAUGACAGAUGAACCAGUGAGAGGUUCUAAACUCAGGACAGUCACUGAGUUGGUAAGGGGCAUCAAGACUGUGAAGUAAAAGAAUUGCAAACAAAUGAAUACCUGGGAAAAAUGGUACCAUGUUGAAAAUAGAAGGUAUACUGACUGGAACAAGAGAGAAUGUUGACAAACUUCGCUAGCAAGUAUGGACUUGAAAUCCUCAUUUCACUAGAGUGAAACAUGAAGCCACUAGUAACUUUUUAUAUUAAUAGUGUAAAUUGUUGACCCACUUCUGUGGGUCCAUUUCUGUACAAUAUUUUUACUUUUUUUUCUAAUACUUAAAGAAACCAGCCCUCUGGC